UAGAGGGGAAAGUGGGAGAGACAGACAGAGAGGAAGAGAGAUAGAGGGGGUGGGGGGGGGAGGAAAAGAGGGAGUGAGUUGGAGAGAGAAAGGAGAGAGAGAAAGAGAGAGAAGGGGGUGGAGGCUUUAGCAUGUGAUAAGAAGGCUUCACAAGGGGGGAAGAGGCCAGAGGAGAGCUGGAGGGGUUUUGGGCCGAGGAGAAGGGAAAGCCCCGAGAGAGAGAGAGGGAGAGAGAGGGAGAGGGAGAGAAAGAGAAAGACAGACAGACAGGGAGAAUAGCACCGCCACCACCACUCUUCUUUCACCUCACCUCUGUCUUUUUUGUCUUUCUUUCUGUCUUUCUCUUUGUCUUUGCACCUUGUCUCUGGUUCUCUCCUCUCUCUCUCUCUCUCUCUCUCUCUUUCUCUCUCUGCCGGUCUUUUAGCUCAGCUGCUGUCACUUUAAGGCUGUUACUGAUUAGUUGCUGAAGAAUGCUGGAAAGAAAAAGGGAGAGCUAGAGCGAGAGAGUGAGGGAGAGGGAGAGACAGAGAAGGAGGAAGGAGGUAUAUAGUCAAACAGAGCAAGGAAAAGAGAAAGAGAGAGAGAGAGUUAAGUGAGAGAAAGAAAGAAAAAAAGAGUGUCUCAGCUGGGAAAGAGAGUCGGUGUCUUGAGUGGAGAGGGUUGUAAUGGGAAAGUCGAGUUGAGUUAAGUCGCGUUGAGUUGAGGUUAGUUUUUUUUUUUUGUUACAGCACGGAGCGACUGUCAGCCCUUUGAAGCGGAUCUCCGGAGUCCGGACCCCUCUCUCUCUCUCUCUCUCUCUCUCUCUCUCUCUCUCUCUCUCUCUCUCUCUCUCUCUCUCUCUCUCUCUCUCUCUCUCUCUCUCUCUCUCUCCCCCUUCGGCUUCUUUGGAGAGACGGACGGCAGAAGGAGCAGCUGGGAAGCUGGGCACCCCUCGCAGCAUGCAGGAAAUACUCCUUUCACUCAGACUGAGCUGUGCAGAUCCCAGACGCAACAAGCUUCUCACAACACCACACACAAGACAACGCAUGGUGGUUAAAGUGUUUCCCCGAGUCCUCCAUAUGUAAAGAAGCAACACUCCUUGUAGGAUGGAGAUAUAGAUUGAUGGAUGGAAGGAGCAUGGAAAGGAAAAAAGAGAACAGGAAAAGGACGGCGGGGGGAAGAAAAGGAGAAGAAUGUUCCGGUAGCGUGGGCUCCUCUGGUUUUUGAGGCUGCCGCCCCCCUCCAGUGUGGGGCCUUUGCUGCUGUUGUUGCCUGUUGUUGUUCUUGGUGGU